UACGAAGGGGGCGAGCGUUGUUCGGAUUUACUGGGCGUAAAGGGCGCGUAGGCGGUGCCCCAAGUCGAGUGUGAAAGCCCCGGGCUCAACCUGGGAAUGGCGCUUGAGACUGGGGCACUGGAGUUCGGGAGAGGAGCGUGGAAUUCCCAGUGUAGAGGUGAAAUUCGUAGAUAUUGGGAAGAACACCGGUGGCGAAGGCGGCGCUCUGGACCGAGACUGACGCUGAGGCGCGAAAGCGUGGGGAGCAAACAGG
rnacentral:rRNA from 1 species